AGUGAGCAUUGGAGAUGAGUUUCCAAACUCUAUAAUUUCCUUCUCAUAUCUUUGUGAAACAUUUUCCUCAGCUACCUUAGUAGAUAUUAUGAAAUUUGAAUUUGAAAAUCCAAAAACUUUCAACAUGUUAUCUACAAAAGCAAAAAGGUAAGAACUUGUUCUCUUAUAAACCCACAUCCUCAACUCAUUCCACCAACCUUUAAUUGUACCUCCUACUCUCAGAAACUCUAACAAACAAUAUGUUGAAUCACCAACUAUGACAUAUGCAAAAGGUAUGAACCAUGGACUUGAAAUCUGAUCAAUUCAUCAAAACAAAAAUUAGAAUAACAUUACUAGAAAUCAUAAGAUAGUUUUAAGGGUUAACAGUGCUUUACCCCCUUGUAAUAUAGGUCAUUUCCGGUUUUCCUCCUUGUAAAAUAUUUUACAGGGACGAAAUCUUCAAAUUACAAGGACAAAAUCCCAAAAAAAUAUUUUACAAGGGGUAAAACCGGAAAUGACCUAUAUUACAGGGGGUAAAACACUAUUAACCCCAAUUUUAAUUUAAAAAAUAGAGGUAGUAACAUUUUCAUACCUGUGGGAACAAGGGAAUGCCUUUGAGUAGAUAAAGUGAAGGGAUGAUGGAAUAAUAGAGAGUUGGAAUAGAGUUUAACGCCCAUAGAUUAUAGUAACAAUAAGACAUUUGAAGACCUGGAUUGAUCAAUCCAGAAGCAUACCAAAUAGGACUGAACUUUGAAAGUACAAUUUGAAAUUGUCCUUCAGACCAUCUCUUAUGUUGAACAAGUGAUUCUGGUAAGGUUGUUGGAGUCAAACCUAAGAAAGGUCUCCUUGUUGGAUUAUAAUAUACUGAUUUCCAUCCUUUACAUAAAAUAUAUAAUCCUGUUAUUACAUCCUCCACUACACAACCAUAUAGUAGUCCCAUCUGCAAUCAAAAGUAUUCAUACAUUUUUUAAAUUUAUAAUAGUACAACAAGAUAAUACUUUUUUGAAUUCAAUAUGUUUUUACUCCUUGACGUAUAACAAAAAGGAUCCUAAUUCACUAUCAUAAGAGAACCACACGUUUAUACGUAGUAAACAAUCUCAGAUGCCGUUAGUUUGAGAUCAGACGACUCAUAUUACACAAUAACAAAAUAUUUUAAACCAUAUCUACCAUUAAACUGCGUGAGAACUAUUGUGAGAAAUCUGUUUCCUCGUAAGUUCUUGCAUUCAUCCAAACACAUAUUGUAUAACCAAUAUUUUUUUUUUUUGGUAGAAAAUGUAUAACCAAUAUUCAAUAGCUUUUGCAAUGACACUUUGUAACUAACAGGGGUUAGUAUCAUCUCUAUUUCUCAAAAUAAAUUGAGAAUCACAUUUGAAGAGAAUGAUCCACAAAGGCUUAAAAAGAUAUUUAAUGCACUAUCUAUUUUUUGCAUAUUUUUCUUAUAAAGUGAUGUCCUCUAUAUAUAUAUAUAUAUUUUUUUUUUUUUUUUUGAAAUAGAGAGGAUUCUAAUUCGAUGAUUUUAAGAAUUGAAUGACCAAAAUAAUGGAAAAACUUUGUAACCAAAAACCAAAGUUAUCAUAUUUUAAAAUUUUCCAAAACCCUAGUUUUUUUUUUUUUAAAUUUACUUUUGAUUUUGAAUGAAAAAGAGAGUGAUUGUGACCUCUUUUCCCCAUGAUGUGUUUUCCUCGUAGGUACAACUUGCAAGAGUCUUUGAUUUUUCUUCUAGCUCUUGCAAGCUUACUUCUUUUAUCAUAUGAUCAAUAUUUUCAUCAUUUGCAUUCUUCCAAUCAAUCUUGUAUUGAUCACUAUACUUUCUUCCACAUAGUGCAUCUCUUCUAUGAAAGCAGCCAGUUCCAAUAUACAUGGGCCCGCCAAAUCCAUCAAAGCCAUGUAAAUCCACCUACAUUACAUAUGUGUUCAAAGUUUAUAAACAAUUGGUGUAAAUAAGCUACUAUUGGAGUCAAUCAGCAUAUUUAUAGGGACCAAAAAUAUAUUUAACUCUUUAGUGUAUACACUUCAAUUUUAUGAACAUAUUUACCUCAUGAGGUAUGCGAAAAGAACCACCGUAUAUGUCAUUUUUUGUGAUAUUUUCAAAGCCCUGAGGAGCCUGCACAAAGGCAAUUUCAUGUCCCUUCUCUUCAUCCAUGAAGAAGCAAAGUGCAUCUCUUAUUGAUUGAGAAUUGUUUGAGUACAUGUCACAAUCUACAUUCAGAAUUAUUUUCCCAUUGCUAAUCAUUGAUGACACCCUUAUCUGCAUUGUGGACCAACAAUUAAUACACUGCAUACUUUCUUGGGGAACAAUUAAUACAUUAUAUAGAGUACCAAUGAAUUCAUAGCUCCAGCUUUGAAGUUAUGUUGAAAUUGGGGUCUUUUCUCACGAGCCAAAUAUACCAAUGUGGGCAUAACAAACCCAUCUUCAUCUCUGGCAUUGUCUUUUCUAUGAAGCAGUAUCUAUAAACAAAUUAAUACAAACCAACUAAUUUGUCAUAUUAAAUUAUUAGUAUAUCAGGAACGACAAUCAACUAUCGUGGAGGUAUUUGAAUAAUUUGAAGGUGUCUGGAAGCAAUUUUAGAAGUCUAAAGAGAAAUUCCGGACAACAAAUACGAAGAUAUUUUAAACUAGGUGAAGGAAAUUCAAUCAGAAAAGAAAAGGAUACAUACAUGAAGAAUUGUGUCAUGGUCACGUUUAGAUGAAUAUGAACCCCAUUCAGAAAACUCCUUAUGCUUUGAGUAUGUUUCUUCUGGUACUUUACCCAACUUGGAUGCAUUUUCUACUCGACUUUCCAUAUCUUGGUACAUUCUCUAUGACAUGAAAAUAAAAAAAGUUUCAAAUAAUGGAAUCAACAUACUAACAAAAAUGAAAUGAAUUUCCAAUUUUGUUAUUAAAUAAUAUUGGGUACAUUUAUAAAACUAAAAGAAUAAAAAAUUUAGUACAAGGAAAUUAGGACAAAUUUUAUUUUGUUUGUCUUUAAUUUGGUUGCAAAUCAAUUUCAUAGGAUUAAGUAGCAAGUCUAACAUGUUGUCUUUAUUGAUGUGAAGUACACUUGUUUUUUGUUUUACAGGCGAAAGAACCACAAUUGUUGUUGUAUAUAAGGAGGGAUCCAGAAAUUUCAACUUGUGAAGUUAAGGUCAUUUAUUAUAAAUGAGUAGUGAUAUAUGUAAAUCCAUUUAAAGAUAACUUUGAUGACUAUCUUGUUUUUUUCUCUUUUUAUUGGUCAAAAAUUAUGGGGAGAGAAAAAGGAAGAGAGGGAAAAAGAAAAUAAUGUGAAUAUAAGAGAGAAAAUUGUACAAACGUUGUCAUAAAGUGGUUGUACGAAUAUCAUUUCUUUAUCGUUUAAACGACGACACCGUUAUAAUUAAGCCAAAAAAUUAAUAACAUUAUUUCUUCAAAAUUGAAGACACCUUAUCAUUUAAAAAAUAUAACUUCUCUCCACGUGUCUUUAUACACCGUCAAAUAUAUCAUUUUCUGUGUACGUGACUAAACAAUUAUUAAAAAUUUAUCUUCAAUAUUUUAGGGCAUUUUUUUAGCAUCCUAAAGUAGUAACUUUUACAUUGAAAAUUGUAUAAUUAUGACUUUUACAUGUGUUUGAUUUGUAUUUUCAAAACAAUUUUAUUUUGAAGGUUUCUUAAACAAUGCGCUUAAAGAAUUUGUUAGCAAGACUCAUACAUUAAUCAAUCUAAUGAAGUUUUAAUUAGCUGUCUUUGUAGGAUCAAAGCAAGAUUUAAAGAGGGGGCAAAACAUUAUAAUAAUUAGUUAGUAGUUACAUUGAAGAAGUGGGGUCAAGUGCCCCCUUGAUAUAACAUGGAUCUGUGCUUGUUGUAUAACACCUCUCAUGACAAAGUUUCACUUUAUUGCAAAAUUUUGCAUUUAAAAAAGAUGGGUCCUCAUAUACUGUCUUGAUCCAAUAGUAGAUAGAUAUUACUAAUAAUGCUAUACAACCCUUUUUUUUAUUUUUAUUUAUUCUUCUUCUUCUCUCUGUAUGUUUCCAUCAUCGUAGAUAAUCUUAUUUGAGAUAUUUAUGUCAUCGUGAGCUUAUCUUAGUUGAUAGGGACAAUAUAUAAUAUAUGCAAGGUUUGAGUUCAAAUCUCGACACUACAAAAAAAAAAGAUAAUCUUAUUUGAGACGAAUCAUAUACUAAAUGUAAAUAUUUAUUUCAGCUAUAAUUCGACCAUUGGUUAGCCGCAUAUUGUGCCACUCUAGUCCCUUGUACUACAUUGGUUGCUAUGCGGCAAAUUUUAUUAGUAAUAAUUUGUUCAAUUAAAUUAAAUAACAAUAUUCGCUCAAAAAAAAAAGAGGGGUGCAAAAUCGCACAAUUACCAAAAAAUAGGAGGAAAAAGUGCAAUUAAACCAACAAAUUAAAUAACAAUAAUAUGUUCUAUCAAAUUAACCUAAAAUAACAAAAAAGAUAAUAAUAAUCUAAGAGCACACCUUUAUACCCCUCUCAAUCACAAAUCAGCUCAAUGAGGAGGAGAGGUCUGACCCCUCAUCCUUAUUAAGCUGAUUUAUGAUUGUAUUUAAUUUGUUCAAUAACAAUAUUUUCAAGCCAUCAUUUUCACCGUCAGAUCCCUCUUCCUCAUUGAGCUUAUUUGCGAUUGUAUUUAAUUUGUUCAAUAACAAUAAACCGUUGUUAUUGAACAAAUUAAAUAACAAUAAUUUGUUCUAUCAAAUUAACCUAAAAUUUAAUAAAAAAUAAUAAAAUUUGUCUUCAUUUUCACCGUCAGACCCCUCAUCCUCAUUAAAGGUGAGCUCUUAGAUUAUCAUUGAGCUAAUUUUCACCCGUUGGCAUUUAGGAUUAGCUUUUUUCAAAAUCUAUUUUUCUAAAAAUAACAAGGCAACGCAUAUACAAGUUAAAAAUCUUGUAUUUUUAAGUGAUUUUUAUGAAUAGUAAACAAAAUAUUUUUUAAAAAAAUCUCUAAAUUCUUUUAACAAUUUUUUUUUUUUUAAAGGUGAAACAAACACACCCUUACAUAUUUAGAGCAAAGUUGGUUACUUUGUUACCUUGAUGGCCAAAAACUCUUUAGCAUUAUUUGGGCAAGUGUCUAAGGUCUUGAAAUAUGCAUCUGGAGACCUAGGUUCAACUUUGAAUCUCUUACAAAAUGGCAACCAAUGCUUCGCAAAUUUAGAAGCUUCUAAGAGAGCAUAAAAUGUAACGUCUGAUCCACCAUCAUCUGAAAGAUACACACUAAGCUUCUCUGUUGGAUAAUCAUAUGCCAUCACAGAUAAUACUGUGUUAAUCACCAUUAUUGGUGGCUCAAUAUCUGGAUUUGCCGUACACACAAAUAUGUCCACUUUGGGUAGCAUGUUCUCAUAUCUGCUUCAAAACAUGUACACUUAACUUUCAUCAAAAGACAUCUCAAUAAUGAUACAUACUUAGAAAAAUUAUAAAUGGGUUUUUCUAUGGAAGUAAAAUUUAUGAAAUAAAAAAAUUAUGAAUAUUUUUGUCUUUACCCACUAGUUUUCAAAUGAAAGAAGAAGUAAAAUGACUGUUUCAACUAGGAGUAGAAACUUGAUCAAUCAAUGAGUCCGCUAACAAGUGUCCUAAAGACAAUGUUUAAUGAGUUUUCAAAAAGAAAUUUUAUCUUGAAAAUACAAGUUAAACACGUGUAAAAGUCAUAACUACAAAAUCUUUCAUGUAAAAACUACUCUCCCUCCGCCCCAUAUUAAGUGACACAGUUGACCUUGUCACACAUAUCAAUACACAAUUUUGAUCUUAAAUAACUUUACUUAUCUAUUAUAAAAAAUUAUAAAAAUUUGAUAUUUUAAAAAUAUUCAUCAAGAUGAAUCCAACCACAUCUUAUAUCUUAUAUGAUAUUAUUUAUCUUUGUAUAUUAGUAGAAAAAUACGGUCAAAGUAUGUUAGGUUAAUAAUACAUAUUUUCAAAUAGGUUAUCUAUCGUAGGACGGAGGGAGUACUUUUGGAUGCUUAAACAAUGCCUUAAAGACACUUAUUAGUAUUUCCCCUAAUUAAUUUACAAUCCAUCCAAUAUAUAUUCACUACAAAAUUCAUUCAACUAAGAUUCAAACUAGAUUACUCCCAAAUUUCCAAUCGAUUUUCCCUUUAAAAACUUAAUUAGCUAUUUACUUAAUUCAUGAAAUUUAACUAACUCAAUUUUUUUCAAUACAAUAAAUAAAUAUUUAAAUUAAAUUUAAUAUUUAAAAGAACAAUUAUAUAUUAAAUAAAAGGAAAAUGUUAACGAGUGUCCCCAGACACUCUUUAAGCACUUUUAAUAGUAAAAUAAGAAUGUAUUGCUGGUGUUUGUCGGUGAAUAGCAUAUAUGGUUGACCCUCUAAAAAAUUCAUAUAUGUUUUUUGGUGAACAGAAAUAGGUGUUGAGAUCAACAAAAAAAAGGAAAAAGUAAUAGGUGUGGUGUACUUAUUCUAUGAGUUUCAUUCACUUGUGCUCAAAAUGGAGUAACUUAUAAUAAAAAGUUUAUAUGAUGACAUGAUUAAAUUAAUCUUAUAAAUAUACUUACUUUAUACAUAAUAGUUGAUUAAAUAUUGCUAUAUAUAGUAGAUGUGUAUGACGACUACAUAUAUAAUGUAUAUACCUUUGAGUGAGUCUUUCAGGGAAGGGUUGCCUGAAAAUAGGGUUCCAUCUAAGGGCUUGACGAAGGAACCAAUAAAAACCAAACCAUAAUUCAGCACAAAGCAAUCCAAUCCAAACCCAUUUUCCAUCUUCUUUGGGUAUGUAACUCAAUCUGUAAACCCAAAUGGACCAAAUUCCUAUUAACAAUGAGAAAGAGAAUACUCUGUACAUGAGUCUUCCCUUCCUUCUCCUUGUCUCAAACAAUGGAUAAUACUCCUCUUUUGCCAUCUUUGUUAAUUCUUGAGUUGUGAUUCCCUAUGGUAUAUGAACUCAAUGAGAUAUGCUAUUUUAUACUCAAAGAAUAAAUGUGUGUAUGUGGUUAAAAAUGUAUGCAUGUAGCAUUAUAUUUGGUCCUUUUCAUAAGACACCUUGAGUAUUUUUUUUAUUAUUAAUAUAAGAAACAAAGAAAUACAAUUUUAAAAUACGUACAUGAAUUGUUAUAUUUCCUUAAAUUUUUUUAUUUUGUUUGUAUAGUAUUUUGUUUGUUUGUUUUUCAUUAAAAGUUCCUAAUGGCAUUUCUGAUCGGUGGUUGAUCAAAUUAAUUUUUUGGCCUCGUGUGUCGUUUCAUAGUAGGGAGAGAACCAAACACAGUUAUGACUUUUUCUGACAGGUGAAGUAGUAGUAUUGGAAAAUCAAAUUCAAGAUAAAAUUCAACACUUCAACAAAAUAUUAAUCAAUCUUCAACAGCACACGAAUGGUAAAAAAGAGGAGUAUGAUGAAAAGCUUGGAAAGUUUGUCAAUUAUAUGGAGUAGUUUAUUUCAUCUAUAAAUAAUUCUCACAAGACAACAAAUGUCUAAUAAUCUAUCCGGUCUCACAAUAUUAGUUGUUUAAGGUGUUGUGAAAGUGACUCAAAAUUGAAGAAAUUAGAGUUAUGAUAUUGUCUAAUUCGGUGGCCGAAUUGACUAGCUCGGUGGCCGAAUUUGAGUGUUGUUUUUCGUCUGUUGGUUCGGCAAAAAUCGGUGGCCGAAUGGAGGAAUUCGGGGUCCGAAUUUGCCAGCAGAAAAUAUAACAGAAACGUAUUUUCGAGCCUAGAUUUGUUCCAAUUUUAUGAGGGAUACUUUUACUAUAAAUAUAGACUUUGUAUCAGAGUAAACCUUGAGAUAGAGAGGGCUAAAACAAGGAUUUAGAAGCCAACAAGAAAACUAGGGUUUGUAUAGUGUUUGCUCUUGGCAACAAACACUAGGGUUGGGGUUGAUUUACCGGGAAACACUAUUAGGAUUGAGUCUCUUGGUCACGGGAAGAGAUUGAGACUUUGGGUAGAAUUAGGCGGAAGACUUAUUCUUGUAACCCGAUGAUAUCUCUUUGUAAAGUUACUCAUCAUUAUAGUGAAAAGGAGGGCUGCUCUCUCCCCAGACUAGGUCAAUUUAGACCGAAAUGGGUAAACAAAUUCUUUUGUGUUCUCUCUUUCUUUCUCUCGAUGUUUUCUACUUGUGGCUUGUGUUUAUAAAUUCCAUACACUUUGUUUUGGUUGCUUGAUUUUCACUUGCUUCACACAUCUAGUAUUUAUUGGUGUGAUUUUUCAUCGAAUUCACAACAAUUGGUGUCCACCGUGGGGCAAGGAUCAAAGGAUAAUCAAGUAUCAUGGGUUCAAAGUGGGAUAUUGAGAAGUUUACCUGAGAUAAAGAUUUGGGGUUAUGGAAGGUAAAGAUGGAAGCGGUUGUAAUACAACAAAAAGUGUGAGAAAGCUUUGAGAGGGUGAAGCUGCGUUACCGGUCACCAUGUCACGAGCGGAGAAGACUGAGAUGGUGGACAAUACCAGGAGUGCCAUUGUCUUGUGCCUCAGGGAUAAAGUUUUGAGAGAAGUAGCGAAGGAACCAACGCAUCAUCGAUGAGGUCAAAGUUGGAAUCUUUGUAUAUGACAAAGUCUUUGGCUCAUCGGCAAUUUCUAAAGCAACAACUCUAGUCAUUCAAGAUGGUGGAGUCAAAGGCCAUCAUGGAGCAAUUUAUAGAGUUCAACAAAAUCCUUGAUGACUUGGAGAAUAUUGAGGUGCAACUUGAGGAUGAAGAUAAAACUAUACUCUUGUUGUGUGCUUUACCGAAAUCUUUUGAAUCGUUCAAAGAUACCAUGCUAUAUGGAAAAGAAGGAACUGUUACCUUGGAAGAAGUUCAAGCGGCUUUGAGAACCAAUGACUUGAGAACUGAUGAAAACGGUGAAGGCCUAAGUGUUUCAAGAGGUAAUGGUGGAGGUAGAGGUAACUAGAGAAAGAGUGGUAACAAGUCAAAGUCUAAAUGCUUUAACUGUCACAAGAUGGAUCACUUCAUGAAGGAUUGUCCGGAGAUUAAUGGCAACUCCACACAAAUUGUCUCUGAGGGUUAUGAGGAUGCAUGUGCUCUGGUGGUGUGUUUUUUGGAGGAUGAAGAAGGUGAUGUGUCUCACCUUGGGAUUGAUGUAUGGUAGAGCGGUGGUCGUCUAGAGAGACGUUAAACACUCAACAUCAGCAUGGAGAAGAGGUGGUAAGAAUACUCAUGAUCAGUCUGGAGAGGCGGAGGUAACAAUACUCAUGAUCUACCUGUUGAGGGGGAGUUUUAAGGUUGAAGACAUAGUGAGGUGUACACAUUUUCUAGUUGAGAGGUUGGAAGCUCAGCUUGAGGUGGAGUUGAACACACCAGUAAUGGUACGGCUAUGGAGGACCUUCGGUGUUAUGCUCUACUGGUGAGCAAGGGAUUUCUUCAUGAAGACGGAAGGCAUUCCGAAGGUUGAAGAAUGUAUAGCACGGCUUGCGGGAUUACCCUAAAAAAAGGCCAAGGGUGAUUGGAUACAAGGUGAUCUUCACAUAAGCGGGUGAAGGUGAGAAAAACACAAGAAGGGGGGGUUGAAUUGUGUUUUCUUUUUCUCUCUAAAAAAUUCUUCUUCUGAUAAACCUUCAGAAGCAGUUUGUGAGUGCUUCUGAUGAAAUGAUCAGAAUCAGAUAUGCAGCGGAAAAGAACAGAGCAGAGAAAAGAAAGACAAAGACACAAGCAGUUAUCCUGGUUCCUUCCACAACACGGAAGUAGUCCAGUCCCCCUUGCACUUCCAAGGAGAUUUCACUAUAAUCACAAAGAUUACAAAUGCUCAAUACUCUCUAAGUAUGAGACUUCACAAAAAUGCUCAAGCACACACGCAAGAGUCUUCCAAUGCUCAAGCACUAAGCAAGAGACUUCUAAUGCUCAAGCACGCAGGCAAGAGUCUUCUGAUCAAACAAAAAUACAAAGAAUUAAGUUUGACUUGAACACUUGAUAUACAAUCAGUGGUGUUCUCAAUACAAUACGAUAAAGACUCUAGACUUUUGAAUUUCUAAGAUGUAUCAAAUCAGUGCAGAAAUUCAGUGUGCUUUGUAGAAUCAAAUUGACAGAGUUUUGGCGCUUUUGAACUUGUGUAUCUCUAUCUACAAUCUUCAAGUCUUCACUCCUUUAUAUAGAGGCGUGAAAGAGACGUUGAGAUAAUUAGCACGUCUAAAGAGUCGUUUGAAAUCCUUUGAUCAUUCACCAGUAAUCCUUUUCCUGAUUUGGGUGUAGUCCUUUGAAGAAUUAGCUUCAAAUUCAUUCCCAUCUUGAAGGCACAAAUUCUGCAGGCAUAGCUGUUGUCUUGUCUUGUAGCGUGGACAAAAACAGAGUAGUGGAGGUAGUGGUUGUACACUUGUACUUUGUCAACUCUGUUAACGAAGGACAAAUGCUCAGUACUAUCCAAAUGACCGUUGAUACCUCCCUUUCAAUUCUUCGUUCUUCUUAGAUAAGGUUGAAAUGAGAAACAGCUACUUUAGAUCUUCAGUUUGAAUAUACGGAUUGAAUGUAGCUUCUGGUGAUGAUUUCGCUUCUGAUGAAAACCCUGCUUCUGAUGACCUUCUGCUUCUGAUGACGUCAUCACUUCAGGAGCACUUCAGCUUCAGAAGCACUUUAAGCUUCAGACGCAGUUUUCUUCAGAUGCUUAGAAUUCUUUUUCUUUCCAUUGUUCUUCCAAGACCUAUUGAAAUUACUUGACUAGCCUUUGGUCCUGUACACUUGAACAAUUAUUAGCAAUAACCAAUUGACAAUUUUUAAUACCUUGUUAUCAUCAAAACUCAUUAAGGUUCAUUGUGAAACACAUUUUGUUCCAACAGCGGGAGGUGUCCUGUGUUGAAGAGGUUAUGGUGAAUGCUAGUGGAACUACCUGAAAUUCCUAGCGUAGUUUCGAUACAAGGAUCUUCGAGAAGGCGGAAGACAUUCCGAUGGCUGAAGAGGUUAAAGUGUGUACUUGUGGAGCUACCUAAAAUUCCUAGCGUAGUGGGAAGCAAGAAUCUUCAAAAGGCGGAAGGUUUUCCAAUGGUUGAAGAGGUAAGGUGUAAACUUGUGGAUCUACUUGGUGUAGUGGGAAGCAAGGGAAAGAGCAGCAAUGUGUUGAUGUUAAAUUGGCAUCAUCACUAAUUUAGAGUCAAGGUGGAGAUUGUUGUGAAAGUGACUCAAAAUUGGAGAAAUUGGAGUUCCGAUGUUGUCUAAUUCGGUGGCCGAAUUGACUGGCUUGGUGGCAGAAUUUUAGUGUUGUUUUUUGUCUGUUGGUUCAGCAAAAAUCGGUGGCCGAAUGGAGGAAUUCGGGGCCCGAAUUUUCCAGCAGAAAAUAUAACAGAAACAUAUUUUUCGGCCUAGAUUUGUUUCAAUUUUAUGAGGGAUAAUUUUAAUAUAAAUAUAUACUUUGUAUCAGAGUAAACCUUGAGAUAGAGGAGGCUAAAACAAGGGUUUAGAAGCCAACAAGAAAACUAGGGUUUGUAUAGAGUCUGCUCUUGGCAACAAACACUAGGGUUUGGGUUGAUUUACCUUGAGAAACACUAUUAGGAUUGAGUCUCUUGUUCAUGGGAAGAUAUUAGGACUUUGGGUAGAAUUAGGCGGGAGACUUAUUCUUGUAACCCAUUGAUAUCUCUUUUAUAAAAUACUAGUAGUAAAAAAGCAGUUUUGGCCCGUAUUCAACAAUGCUUGGGGCGCACAGGCUUUGCUUGGGGAGCAUGGCCAUGCUCUGGGUGCAUUGACCAUGCUCAGGGCAGCUGUGAGUGCGUUCCGAUGCAUAAAUCCUUGUUUUUUCGUCCUUUUGGUUGUUUGCUUCCGUAUAAGAUGUCUUGGGACCCGGGAACAAAAUUUCUCCCUUCUAAUGUCUUAUGAGGCCACUUGAAUCUUCAUUCUUGAUCUUCCCAAAGUCUUCACUGAUCUUCAGAUGUCUUGAUUUGUCGAUUUCCAUGAUUUAUUCGUGAAUUACAUCAAAAACACCCUAGAAUUGCUAUAUUUCAGGAAAAAUAGAAUUACAAUCAUAAGCAAUUGAUCUAAUACUUCUCUGUUCUGCUUGUAAAAUGUACUAAAGAUGGUGAAUGGAAAAAAUUGUUUAAAAGAUGUCACCCUUCUUCUCUAUUAAUAGAAAAAAAUAAUAAUUAUUGAUUUAGCGUGGUUUAAGCCAACGCUAAUCCGACACUACUAGCAUAAAAAAUUUAGUCUCUUGAAAAAAAAAGGAUGAAUAUGUAAUUCUACUUAUAAUUAGUAACCAUGUUGUUGUCGCGAAUAAAUCAAAGGUGGCCAUGUUUUAAUGUAUAGGGAUCCGUAGCAAAUAUCUAACUCCAAUUAUUUUGUUAGUAAGCUUUUCCCAAAUAUAACCCACUUUAACCUAAGUCACAUUAUAACCUUGAAAGAUCUCUAAACUGUGUAUGACUGUACAUGACUUUGAAUGACGAUGACAAAACACUAGCAAGUGUACCAGUGUGCUGACAAGUAGUAAUAAUUAUAAAGGAUUUUUAUAUCAUGAGCAAAUUUGCACAUGUUAAGAAAUUUAAAAUGGUAAGUUAGUCUUGAAACUUGUGUAUUUUAUAUUAAAUAUACAACUUUUUAUUAAAUAAUUGAUGUUUUUCAAUAGAAAGUUACUACUUUAAGUUAACUUAACAUGCACAAUAUUGCACAUGUUAGACAAACCCAUUUAUAAAAGAUUUGUCUCCAUAGAGAGUGUCUAGUUUCAGUUCGACUACUGCGACUAUAGUUUGAGAAAUUUUAAUACAAUGGGAGGUUUAGAGAGAGAGAGUCUAUGCCAUGUCAGAAAGAGAGAAACUAUGAAUACCGUUAUAUUGAUUACUUAAUUUUAAUAUCUUUAAACAAAAUAGAUAGGCCAAUGACUUGGUCACUAACUAUCUUUAACAAUUAUGCCCCUUGAUGUCUCAUUGAUUACCAUAAAAACCCUUAAAUGUUUAAGAACACCAAAGUAAGUAGAAACAAUCAUUAGUGUAUGUCUAAAUAUAAUCAAAUGUAGAACAAUUAACAUAAGUCCGACCAACAAAGUUAUGACCAAUAUUCAUUUUGUGACCUCUAUCAAAUUAUGGACAUCCGUAGACACAUAAAUUGCAUUGAGAAUAAUAUUACUUUAUUAUUCAUUUUUUAAAAGUAAAACUAAAAAUGCAUUGAGAAUAAUAUUACUUUAUUAUUAAUUUUUUAAAAGUAAAACUAAAAAGUGUCAAGGAUAUGAAUUUAGCCAAGGGCACUAUAGAGGACACAUACACUUAGAGCCAAUGUUGUUGAUGUAACUGCAACAGACCUUGGCAAUCUUCCCUUAUCUCUCCUUAGGAAAAGGCCUUGAUAAAUAGGUAUAUUGAUAAGAACCAAAACCCCACUUAGUAAAACUUGCAAUAACAUUGUCUCAAAUAAUGUAACACUUGCUUUACCUAACACAACCUCCUUUAGCAACAUCCCAACAAGACAAAACAAAUUCAACAUUGCAAGUGUAGCCAAUAAAGUGAGCAUUGGAGUUGAGUUUCCAAACUCUAUAAUUUCCUUCUCAUAUCUUUGUGAAACAUUUUCCUCAGCUAUCUUAGUAGAUAUUAUGAAAUUUGAAUUUGAAAAUCCAAAAACUUUCAACAUGUUAUCUACAAAAGCAAAAAGGUAAGAACUUGUUCUCUUGUAAAGCCACAUCCUCAAUUCAUUCCACCAACCUUUAAUUGUACCUCCUACCCUCAAAAACUCUAACAAACAGUAUAUUGAAUCCCCAACUAUGACAUAUGCAAAAGGUAUGAACCAAGGACUUGAAAUCU
rnacentral:lncRNA from 1 species